rnacentral:rRNA from 1 species
UCAAGUAAUUAAGUGCAUGUGGUGGAUGCCUUGGCAGUCAGAGGCGAUGAAAGACGUGAUAGCCUGCGAAAAGCUCCGGGGAGGCGGCAAAUAUCCUUUGAUCCGGAGAUGUCUGAAUGGGGGAACCCACCUACUUUAAGGUAGGUAUUGCAACAUGAAUACAUAGUGUUGCAAGGCGAACGAGGGGAAGUGAAACAUCUCAGUACCCUUAGGAAAAGAAAUCAAUUGAGAUUCCCUCAGUAGCGGCGAGCGAACGGGGAUCAGCCCAUUAAGUUAUGUGUGUUUUAGUGGAACGCUCUGGGAAGUGCGAACGUAGAGGGUGAUAUUCCCGUACACGAAAGGGCACACAUAAUGAUGACGAGUAGGGCGAGGCACGUGAAACCUUGUCUGAAUAUGGGGGGACCAUCCUCCAAGGCUAAAUACUCCUGACUGACCGAUAGUGAACCAGUACCGUGAGGGAAAGGCGAAAAGAACCCCUGUGAGGGGAGUGAAAUAGAUCCUGAAACCGCAUGCAUACAAGCAGUGGGAGCACCUUCGUGGUGUGACUGCGUACCUUUUGUAUAAUGGGUCAGCGACUUAUAUUCAGUAGCGAGGUUAACCGUAUAGGGGAGCCGUAGAGAAAUCGAGUCUUAAUAGGGCGUUUAGUUGCUGGGUAUAGACCCGAAACCAGGCGAUCUAUCCAUGAGCAGGUUGAAGGUUGGGUAACACUAACUGGAGGACCGAACCCACUGUCGUUGAAAAGCCAGGGGAUGACUUGUGGAUAGGGGUGAAAGGCUAAUCAAGCCUGGUGAUAGCUGGUUCUCCCCGAAAGCUAUUUAGGUAGCGCCUCGGACGAAUACCAUAGGGGGUAGAGCACUGUUUCGGCUAGGGGGUCAUCCCGGCUUACCAAACCGAUGCAAACUCCGAAUACCUAUGAGUACUAUCCGGGAGACAGACUGCGGGUGCUAACGUCCGUAGUCAAGAGGAAAACAAUCCAGACCGCCAGCUAAGGCCCCAAAAUCAUAGUUAAGUGGGAAACGAUGUGGGAAGGCAUAGACAGCUAGGAGGUUGGCUUAGAAGCAGCCACCCUUUAAAGAAAGCGUAAUAGCUCACUAGUCGAGUCGGCCUGCGCGGAAGAUGUAACGGGGCUAAAACUAUGUGCCGAAGCUGCGGAUGUAUACUUUGUAUACGUGGUAGGGGAGCGUUCUGUAAGCCGAUGAAGGUGUGUUGAGAAGCAUGCUGGAGGUAUCAGAAGUGCGAAUGCUGACGUGAGUAACGACAAAACGGGUGAAAAACCCGUUCGCCGAAAGACCAAGGGUUCCAGUCCAACGUUAAUCGGGGCUGGGUGAGUCGACCCCUAAGGCGAGGCCGAAAGGCGUAGUCGAUGGGAAAAUGGUUAAUAUUCCAUUACUUCUGUGUAAUGCGAUGAGAGGACGGAGAAGGCUAAAUCAGCCUGGCGUUGGUUGUCCAGGUGAAAGGAUGUAGGCAUGUAUCUUAGGCAAAUCCGGGGUACUCUAUGCUGAGAUCUGAUAGCAAGCUGUACUUGUACAGCGAAGUGGUUGAUGCCAUGCUUCCAGGAAAAGUCUCUAAGCUUCAGUUACACAGGAAUCGUACCCGAAACCGACACAGGUGGUCAGGUCGAGUAGACCAAGGCGCUUGAGAGAACUCUGCUGAAGGAACUAGGCAAAAUGGUACCGUAACUUCGGGAGAAGGUACGCUGUUGUUGGUGAUGGAACUCGCUUCCUGAGCUGACGACAGCCGCAGAAACCAGGCCGCUGCAACUGUUUAUUAAAAACAUAGCACUCUGCAAACACGAAAGUGGACGUAUAGGGUGUGAUGCCUGCCCGGUGCUGGAAGGUUAAUUGAUGGGGUUAGCGUAAGCGAAGCUCUUGAUCGAAGCCCCAGUAAACGGCGGCCGUAACUAUAACGGUCCUAAGGUAGCGAAAUUCCUUGUCGGGUAAGUUCCGACCUGCACGAAUGGCAUAAUGAUGGCGGCGCUGUCUCCAGCAGAGGCUCAGUGAAAUCGAAAUCGCUGUGAAGAUGCAGUGUACCCGCGGCUAGACGGAAAGACCCCGUGAACCUUUACUGCAGCUUGACACUGAACUUUGACCUUACUUGUGUAGGAUAGGUGGGAGGCUUUGAAGCUGGAACGCUAGUUCCAGUGGAGCCGUCCUUGAAAUACCACCCUGGUAAUGUUGAGGUUCUAACUCUGUCCCGUGAUCCGGGACGAGGACCGUGUCUGGUGGGUAGUUUGACUGGGGCGGUCUCCUCCUAAAGAGUAACGGAGGAGUACGAAGGUGCGCUCAGCGUGGUCGGAAAUCACGCGUAGAGUAUAAAGGCAAAAGCGCGCUUAACUGCGAGACCCACAAGUCGAGCAGGUACGAAAGUAGGUCUUAGUGAUCCGGUGGUUCUGUAUGGAAGGGCCAUCGCUCAACGGAUAAAAGGUACUCUGGGGAUAACAGGCUGAUACCGCCCAAGAGUUCAUAUCGACGGCGGUGUUUGGCACCUCGAUGUCGGCUCAUCUCAUCCUGGGGCUGAAGCAGGUCCCAAGGGUAUGGCUGUUCGCCAUUUAAAGAGGUACGCGAGCUGGGUUUAGAACGUCGUGAGACAGUUCGGUCCCUAUCUACCGUGGGCGCUGGAAAUUUGAGAGGAUCUGCUCCUAGUACGAGAGGACCAGAGUGGACGAACCUCUGGUGUACCGGUUGUGACGCCAGUCGCAUCGCCGGGUAGCUAUGUUCGGAAGGGAUAACCGCUGAAAGCAUCUAAGCGGGAAGCCUACCUCAAGAUAAGAUUUCCCUAGGACUUUAUGUCCUCUAAAGAGCCGUUCGAGACUAGGACGUUGAUAGGUUGGAUGUGGAAGCAUAGUGAUAUGUGAAGCUGACCAAUACUAAUUGCUCGUGAGGCUUGACUAU